rnacentral:rRNA from 1 species
CCUACGGGAGGCAGCAGUGAGGAAUAUUGGUCAAUGGACGAGAGUCUGAACCAGCCAAGUAGCGUGAAGGAUGACUGCCCUAUGGGUUGUAAACUUCUUUUAUAUGGGAAUAAAACGUUCCACGUGUGGGAUUUUGUAUGUACCAUAUGAAUAAGGAUCGGCUAACUCCGUGCCAGCAGCCGCGGUAAUACGGAGGAUCCGAGCGUUAUCCGGAUUUAUUGGGUUUAAAGGGAGCGUAGGUGGUGUGUUAAGUCAGUUGUGAAAGUUUGCGGCUCAACCGUAAAAUUGCAGUUGAAACUGGCAGUCUUGAGUACAGGAGAGGUGGGCGGAAUGCGUGGUGUAGCGGUGAAAUGCUUAGAUAUCACGAAGAACUCCGAUUGCGAAGGCAGUUCACUGGACUGCAACUGACACUGAGGCUCGAAAGUGUGGGUAUCAAACAGGAUUAGAUACCCUUGUAGUC